rfam:Nematostella vectensis strain CH2 x CH6 NEMVEscaffold_269_Cont21689, whole genome shotgun sequence.
GCCUCCGUAGUCUAAUGGAUAUGACGUCAGCCUCCUAAGCCGAAGGUUGCGGGUUCGAGUCCCGUCGGGGGUG